CGUAGUGGCAAGCGUUGUCCGGAUUUACUGGGCGUAAAGAGCGCGCAGGCGGUCGUAUAAGUCGAAUGUGAAAGCCCCCGGCUCAACUGGGGAGGGUCAUUCGAUACUGUUCGACUCGAAGGCAGGAGAGGGAAGUGGAAUUCCGGGUGUAGUGGUGAAAUGCGUAGAUAUCCGGAGGAACACCAGUGGCGAAGGCGACUUUCUGGCCUGUUCUUGACGCUGAGGCGCGAAAGCUAGGGGAGCAAACGGGAUUAGAUACCCCGGUAGUCCUAGCCGUAAACGAUGGACACUAGGUGUUGGUGGUAUCAACCCCGCCAGUGCCGUAGCUAACGCAUUAAGUGUCCCGCCUGGGGAGUACGGCCGCAAGGCUA
rnacentral:rRNA from 1 species